UGGACUAGAUGACCUCAUGAAGUCCCUUCCAACCCUGAUAUUCUAUGAUUUUUUCCCUGUGGGGUGCUCCAACCCUGGCACCUAUGGUCUACUAGGAAUAAGAAAUUGUCACCGAUCAGGGAUAAGCCAGGUCACAGAUAUCAGACUUCCUCACGUUUUCUAGGUCUCAAUGAAGUCUUGGUUAGGUACAAAAUGAUAUUUUCAGAAAAUUUGAACUCUUAAUUUGAAUGCUUUUCUCUCUUGUAAGCAAUGAGGCUUGGGUUUAAUUGGGCUGAGUGGUCAUUUUUAAGUAUAGGAAGAUUCCAGAAGAGGAAGAGAUUUUUGGAAUGGAGGAUGCUAAUUUUAUUUUGGUUUAUCUUCACAUGGAAUUAAACCAUAGAACUUAUCUUGAACUUUCAAUUUAAGAUUUCAUAUCAUGUAUUGUGCAACUCAAUGUCUUUGUGAUUAUAAUCUUGCAAAUAGCACUGAAACCACCACAGGGAUAUUUAUUUUUCCCGGGUAAUGGUAUUCUGUUUGCUUUCCAGACUAGAUUGUGACUUGAACUACAUGCCUGCACAAGGAGGCCUAUUUGGCACAGAUAGCUGAGCAGCAGCUGUAUAUAUUCAAGCUCCCGCAGGAAGAGGCCAAUAGAAGCAGCAGAGAGCAAGAGAAGAAGCAAGGUACCAGGGCCAGGAGGCUGUCUGCUGGAAUAGGACUGUGUUACACCUGUGAGCAACAGCGACCCUUGAGAAGGGAGUGCCCCCAGCCAGGAUGGAGGACAGAAGCCUCACCCAGAGAAUGGGAAGAAGAGAAAGCCCAAGAGAGUCUGACUUGUGAAGAGAACAGGGAAGGGAUGAGCAUGUUGGGCCUGUGGGCAACAGGGACAUCUGCAGAGAGAAUGCUCAUACAUGAGUUAUGUUGUCAAGGCAUGCCCAGGGGAAGGGGCUGAGCAAGAGAAGAACAAUGGGAGGCCCCAAGACAAGGCAGAGAGAUUGCUUAUGGUGCCAGGGGGAUGUCCAUAUAAAGAGGCAUUGCCCCCUUAGGAGAAGGCGAGAUAGAAAAGGGGAAGACGGACCCUAGUGAAAGAGAAAACAAGGAAAGCGUAUCUGCUCUGUUUUCUGACAGUCUGCUCAGGGGCAGGUACUCAGUCGUGAGCCCCUCUAGAUAGUGUGACAGGGACCAUUUUGAAAAGGGCCUAGGACUGUCUUUUGCUUUCCAGUUUCUCCAGCAGUUCUUCUCCUCUUGCCAUUCCAGCAACAUCUCUUCAGUACUUUGGUGAACGAGUUGUUAUGUAGUUCGGUUAUGUGCUGCAAGAGGGAGACAGAACCAUACGGUGUCUCAUGACAGAAUGCUCCUUUGAGAAUAUUUCAUCUUGGAUGUUGAUUCUGUAGUACCGGUAGUAAUUGACAUGGCACGCUGACUUUGCAAGACACUGUGAUUCAUUUUUCUGGACUGUUGAGUGGCUUAAAUUCUACAUAUAUGCAGAUAUUAUAUUUAACCAUACACAUGUUUUUGUGCAUCUUGGGAGCAAUUGCUGCAGUUGGUAAAUUGUGCACACAGGACAAGGUACAGAACAAAACAAGUUAAGGAACUGGUACAAACUGGUGGGUUGGAUUUUAGUGAUGUGUAAAGAGUUUUUUAACUUGUAAAAUCAUACAAUGAAUGCUACUGGCUGAAAUGCGUAUCUUUGAAGCACACCUAUUGCGUAAAACAAACAUGCUGCGACAACUUGCGUCCCGGAAGGGGGGGCCAUACCGGUCUCCUUUUCAUAUUGUACUGCUUUGUCUUUAGAUAAUAAACUUGGUUAUUUGAUCUCUUGAACAUUUUGAAGAAUGAACCACAGGUGCAGUCAAACAAUCGGCUCUGCAUUUGAGACAAUAUUAUGCCUUGUACUUUUUGAGCUAUGAAAUUUCCAGUAUUUCAUUGGGAAUUCUAAUACACAGCUAUCUCAAAUGUAGCCGUACAUAUACUCACUACUUAACACAUUGCUUACAGACAGGGAAAUUGUGAGGUCUCUCUCCUUAAACAUCUCACAAUAUUCAUUCAGGCAAGAAGUGAGACUCUGUCUGGUCUCAUCAACAUACUAAAUAUUACACUCAUCACACUGUGCACAGCGUAUAACUCCAGGGUGAUUAAUUACCUAAAGUACUUCAGCUCUCAGAAACACAGUAAUCCAUUAAUAUAAUUUAACUUUACAGCCAACACUGCAAAUUAAAAUACAGAAACAAAUCCAUUUUUUUCAGUUCAUUAGAUAGGGCACAAACUAUCCUGUGAGCAGGCCUGAUAGCUGGAACUUCCCUUCAGGGCGUUACUUAUGAAAACUGACAAGUGUAACAUUUCCAUCCAGCACAGUGCUGAGUUUCCGUCAGCAAAUCCCAAACCCUUACAUGCUUCCAAAUUGCUUAGAGGAAGAUUCCCCUUUCUGUGGAUCUCAUUAGGAGCCCUUUUCCCCAUAAAACGUAUCUGGGCUAUGACAUUACAGGCUCUCCACUGAGAAUCCUCAGAAAGCCCUCAGGCAUGGCUUGUUGGCAGGAGGCCAGAUACAACUGAUUAAAAAUAAAAAUUCCAAUGUCUUGCCAGCUAGAUGGACGUGCUGUGCUGGCGCUCACUAGAGUGUAGGGAGAAAGGGGAACCCUUAGCUGAACUGACACUUUAUGCCAUAGAAAGCCACUAUCAAGUUAACCCAUCUAUCUUUUUCUGCACCCAGUCACCCUGGUAUCUUGUCCCAACAGAAACCUCUCUUUAUGUAUUAUCUACAUAUAUAGCGCCAUCUUUCACCUCCAGGGCCAGAUCAUGCUUGCAUUGUCCAUCCAAAUACAGUAGUCCCAAUGGCUUCAACUGGGCUACUUCUGUGACUUAAAUGAGCAGGAUUUGGCCCAUAAUAAUGAUACAUGAAGAAUCAAAUCCUGAGGGUCUUUACUUUAUUUUUACUUGGGCAAAACUUCCAGGGGAUUUUGCCUGAGAAAAAAAUAAAAGGAAUUUGCUUUGUAAUUAUUUAUCUUAUCUGUUAUGCAAACUAUUAUACAUAUAUAAUAUGCACAUAUAAUGCCUCAAUUCUGAUUUAAAUAUGGGAUGUAAAUAUAUUGGUCUAGAAUCUCAACUGAUGUAAAUGUUGUAACUCCAAUGAAGUCCAUGCAAUUUUUAUAACAUAUAAUAGCAUAAUGAUGUAGACUAGUUUAAAUGAGAGGAGAAUCAAGCCUGAAACAUACUAAGUACUGUUGUUGCAAUGAGGGAGACGUGUUAGAAAAUAAUAUGUAUCUUCAAUUAUGCCUGUAUAAAUUAGACUACAGUCAAGUAAACAGUAUUAAUUUUAAGCUUCUGCAGUUACUAAUAGACUAUAACAUCUCUCGAGAAAUCAUUACCAUUUAGUCUGUAAGUGUUCAUGCCUUCGUGGAAUGGAUAUUUAUUUGCUCUUACUGCAUUUUCUGAAAAGAUAGCUGUGAAAAAAGGAAAUGGAAGUAAAUAAAUUCCUAACUUAAACUGACAUUGCCAGGGCAAUUUAAGAUCAAAACUUCGCUUUUACAAAAGCAUAGUUUUAAAAAAAUCUAAGUCAA